rnacentral:misc_RNA from 1 species
CUGAGUGAGGGCCCUCCGGGUCCAACCUCCCACCCGUGUUUAUCGUACCUUGUUGCUUCGGCGGGCCCGCCGUCCUGGCCGCCGGGGGGCACCCGCCCCCGGGCCCGCGCCCGCCGAAGACACCAUUGAACGCUGUCUGAAGAUUGCAGUCUGAGCAGAUUAGCUAAAUCAGUUA